ACAGUAGCUGCCAUUUUUUGCUGAAAUUGUUGUCGACUGUAAUGAUAUAGGUAUCUGAACCAUAAUUCCUUAUGAAUAUUUCUCAUUGUAAACUUAAUAUACAUUUUGACGUGAAAUACCCUAUAUGUUUCUGUAGAUUUGAUUUUUCAACGAUGCAGUUGAUGUAUUGCCCCCAGUAGUCCAGUUUCCACAAUGAUAAGUACUUCGACACAUUUUCCAUCCACCUACGGCUGGUGUUUAUGUUGAAAUCACUUUUGGCUUGGUUCUGGAUAUGGGGAACUAUUAAUGUAGCAAUGGAUGCAAGAAUGGUCUAUUGAAGUUCAUUUUCACACCCUUGAAUAAUGGACAAGACAUGCUAACAAGUCUGGAAAAAGCAUUUGGGGAAUGAGAAAGAACUACUUCUCUUAAAUCUACAAAUGAGUGGUAUUUCCUUUUGGUAGUGCAAGUACCUGUUGUGGCCAUGUUUUCUUUGUGCUGCUGCGGACCAUGUCUCGAGAAUGUCCAUGAGCUGCUUAUGUAGAUGUUGCUUUUGCUGUUACUACCUUCUAUUGCUCUUCAUAGAACGUUCUUCUAUUUCUCUGAUUCUAUAUCAGCUUUGCUGCUAAGUUUGUAGUUGUAUGUGCUUUAUCCGAGUUUCAACCUAGCAACAUCAUUUUGUAAAGUGUAACAAAUGUAUUAUUCUAUUGAAAAUU